GAAAUUAAUCAAACAAUACUCACACAUAUCGUCACAUGACUUUGGGUGCUGGGAAUGUAUAGGAUCGCGGUAGCCGCAGGCUUUAGCCUGCGUUUUCGGCGAUGCGCAGGCCAAAGCCUGCGGCUACCAAACCAAUAUAUUCUCGGUUAAGUUGUGGGAUGUGUGGAGGAAUAAC
rnacentral:sRNA from 1 species